GUAUGCUUCGUUCAAGGAUUAAGCCAUGCAAGUGUCAGAACCAACCGAUCUAACAGUGAAUCUGUGAAUGGCUCCUUACAUCAGCUGUAAGUCAUCUGAGGAAAUGCUUCGCAUAGGUGGAUAUCCGCCUUAACCUGGUGGCUAAUACACAGGUAGUCUUCUCCGUGGACCAUGAGCUGUCCAAUGGGCUGUUCGUCUACGCGAGAUACACUCAGCUGUGACUAAGAUCUGUGCUCGCAAGAGCAGAUCUGUGGCUGAAACUGGUUGAGAAUCCAUAGUGCUGGCUAACAAAGGAACGAUCACAAAUCGUUCCAGCUUCAUCAGCUAUGCAUCUGCCCUAUCAGCCUGACUGUCGUGCAAAGGACUACAGUAGCUGUUACGGGUACAGAGAAUCAGGGUUUGAUUCUGGAGAGGGAGCCUGAGAGACGGCUACCACUACUAAGGUUGGCAGCAGGCACGCAAAUUGCCCCAUGCAGAAACUAUGCGAGGCAGCGACGAAUCAUAAUGGUGGAGCUAGCAAUCUCUUGCAGUUCUACUGGUAAUGGAUGCUACUCAAAACCAGCUAUGAGUAUCAACUGGAGGGCAAGUCUGGUGCCUGCAGCCGCGGUAAUUCCAGCUCCAAGAGUGUACGCCAUCGUUGUUGUUGUUAGAACACUUGUAGUCUGCCUCCAGGGUGCAAGGUCUGCUAGUGUCCCAAGUACUGUGCAGCACUCGUUGCUGUAUGGGAACAGGGUUCAACACUGGUAGAAAGUCCCUUCACCCAAUCGCUUGUUAGCCCGAUGCUCCAGACCUUAGUUCACUUCAUUGUGAACGAGGGCAGCUAUGCAACCCACACCUGCUGAACGACUACCCCAGGUAUCUACCUGAGGGCGUUCGCUACCGGAGCCGGCUAGACGUUCGAUCAUGGACAAAACAGAGUGCUUCAGGCAGUCGUCUCGACUGUAUGACCAUCCAUGAGACCGUACAGGAUUGACCAGAGGGCAUCGAAGUUAUACAUGUCUUAAGUGCCCUAAUGGACAGUUUGUGCAUUUACCGAUGCUUCUCGCUCUAUCACUCGUGAUGGGGCAGUUGCACCCGGUGCUUGUACAUCCACCCGUGAUGAGAUGCUAUGGAGAAGAAAGUACCUCAACGCCAGUGGUGAAAUGCUUAGAUCGUUGAGUGACGAUCUGCAGCAAAGGCGUUCUUCAAGGGUCUAUCUGUCGAUCAAGAAUGAGAGUCCGAGGAUCAAAGAUGAUUAGACACCAUUAUAGUUCGGCACUGUAAACGAUACCAGCCAGCUGGUAGCGGGUUCUGCAACCUAUACCCGUUAUCAUCCCUUCCUUCUUAACGAGAAAUCCGAAGCUUACGGGUUCAAGGGGAAGUACAGCUGCAGAGCUGAAACUUAAAGGAAUUGACGGAAUGGCACCACAAGGUGUGGAAUGUGCGGCUUAAUUUGACCCAACACGGGGAAGGUUACCAGGUCAGGACAUAGCGAGGAUUGACAGAUCGAUGAGCUCUUUCUUGAUCCUAUGGAUGGUGGUGCAUGGCCACUCCUGAUUGGUGGAGUGAUUUGUCUGGUUGAUUCCGAUAACGAGUGAGACCUCUGCCUCCCAGUAGUCGUGGGCUCGUAUCUGUAGGGUUAAGUUCUCUACUCUCUGAGCAUCUUUCGGGAUGUCUCUCUGCAGUAGAUGAACUCCCGAGAGCCUAACAGUCUAACUUCUCUGAAGGUGCAUGUUCUUUGUUAUCUCAAGGAACAGUAUGCUAGAGACAACAGUAGGUCUGUGAUGCUCCCAGAUGUUCUGGG
rnacentral:rRNA from 1 species